rnacentral:rRNA from 1 species
AUACGUAGGUGGCAAGCGUUGUCCGGAUUUAUUGGGUUUAAAGGGUGCGUAGGCGGCCCCGUAAGUCAGUGGUGAAAUACCGCAGCUCAACUGUGGGGGUGCCAUUGAUACUGCGGGGCUUGAGUGGAGUCGGGGUGGCCGGAAUUUACGGUGUAGCGGUGAAAUGCAUAGAUACCGUAAAGAACACCGAUAGCGAAGGCAGCCUGCUGGGCAGAUACCGACGCUGAGGCACGAAAGUGUGGGGAUC